UCAGAGGGAAUGCAUACAUCAGGCUCCCUGACCACAACAGGAGGAAGGCAUCGGAGAGGGAGCCCUUGCUCAGACCUUGCCAAGAAUAAAACCGGUGCAUUUCCUGUUCUGUCUGGUAGUGAACAGGUCCACUUGGGGAGUUCCCCACCUUUGGAAGAUCAUGCAGGCUACUUCUAGAUGGAGCGACCACUCGUGGUGAGAGGAGAAGUCCCUCCUAACGUGGUCCGCCAGCAUAUUCUUGACACCAGGAAAGUGACAAGCUUCCAGGUGGAUUUCGUGGCUGAUGUAGAAGUCCCAUAGAUGGACUGCCUUUUGACAGAGAGCCGAUGAGCACGCUCCCCCUUGCCUGUUGAUGUAGAACAUCGAGGCUGUGUUGUCCAUCAGGACUUGUACCACCUUGCCCCAGAGGUGGGACAGGAAGACUGCAAGCCAGCCGGACUGCUCAGAACUCUUUGAUGUUUAUAUGCAACCUCACCUCCUUUGGGGACCACAUCCCCUGUGUCUGGCCGUUGCCGAGGUGCGCACGCCAGCCAAGGUCUGAGGCGUCCGACACCAACUCGAUGGAGUGAAGGGGUUUGUUGAAUGGAACGCCAUCCAGGACUUGCCCUCAGUUGGUCCACCAUUGCAGCAAGUAGGCCCAGGGAGCAGCAUGCGGCUUGAAGCACCGGGACAUCCCUUUGGACUUGAGACCUGGAGCUGCCCUUGACGAGCCAGUCAUCGAGGUAUGGGUAGAUCUGGAUACCAUGUCACCUGAGAUGUUAAUUGCCAGAUAUUCUGUCUUGUGUGCAUGCUUAUUUGCACACAGGCCCAUACUACCCACUGUAUGUAACUCCCGAGCAGUAUCCCCAUAAGGAGGAGGAAGCCCCAGAGUCAAGUCCAGCACAGAAGAAAGAACUGCAUUGCCAACUGCUACAUCAACUCUAGAGGCACUGACUAAGGCGUAGUGCCUGGAGAAGGUAGAAGGAUAACACCUUCUUGACAUCUUCAGCAUGGAACACAGUCUCCAGAUUGGAAUUAUGUGGUUUUGGAAAGAACACUGGCAGGUAAAUGACUUGACUCACAUGAAACUCAGAAGACACUUUAGGAAGAAACCUGGUGUGUGGUCGUAAAGUAACUUUGUCCUUGCAGAAUACUGUGAAAGGAGGGUGUCAUAAACAUAAAGGGAAGGGUAACCACCUUUCUGUAUACAGUGCUAUAAAAUCCCUCCUGGCCAGAGGCAAAGUCCUUUUACCUGUAAAGGGUUAAGAAGGGCAGGUAACCUGGCUGGCACCUGACCCAAAAUGACCAAUGAGGGGACAAGAUACUUUCAAAUCUGGAGGGGGGAAAAGGCUUUUGUCUGUCUGUGUGAUACCUUUGCCGGGAAAAGAUCGAGGAUGCAAGCCCUCCAACUCCUGUAAAGCUAGUAAGUAUUCUAGCUAGAAAAUGAGUUAGGUUUUCUUUGUUUUGGCUUGUGAAAUUCGCUGUGCUGGAGGAAAUGUGAGUUCCUGUUUUGUGUCUUUUUGUAACUUACGGUUUUGCCUAGAGGGAUUCUCAUUUGUUUUGAAUCUGACUGCCUGCAAGAUUAUC